AUACAGAGGGUGCGAGCGUUAAUAGGAAUUACUGGGCGUAAAGCGCGCGUAGGCGGUCUAUUAAGUCAGAUGUGAAAUCCCAGGGCUCAACCUUGGAACUGCAUCUGAUACUGGUAGACUAGAGUUUUGGAGAGGGAAGUAGAAUUUCAGGUGUAGCGGUGAAAUGCAUAGAGAUCUGAAGGAAUACCAGUGGCGAAGGCGACUUCCUGGCCAAAAACUGACGCUGAGGUGCGAAAGCGUGGGUAGCAAACGGGAUUAGAAACCCUAGUAGUCC
rnacentral:rRNA from 1 species